AGUCGAGCGGUAGAGAGAAGCUUGCUUCUCUUGAGAGCGGCGGACGGGUGAGUAAUGCCUAGGAAUCUGCCUGGUAGUGGGGGAUAACGCUCGGAAACGGACGCUAAUACCGCAUACGUCCUACGGGAGAAAGCAGGGGACCUUCGGGCCUUGCGCUAUCAGAUGAGCCUAGGUCGGAUUAGCUAGUUGGUGAGGUAAUGGCUCACCAAGGCGACGAUCCGUAACUGGUCUGAGAGGAUGAUCAGUCACACUGGAACUGAGACACGGUCCAGACUCCUACGGGAGGCAGCAGUGGGGAAUAUUGGACAAUGGGCGAAAGCCUGAUCCAGCCAUGCCGCGUGUGUGAAGAAGGUCUUCGGAUUGUAAAGCACUUUAAGUUGGGAGGAAGGGCAGUAACCUAAUACGUUAUUGUUUUGACGUUACCGAC
rnacentral:rRNA from 1 species